CCUACGGGUCGCACCAGUGGGGAAUAUUGCACAAUGGGCGCAAGCCUGAUGCAGCCAUGCCGCGUGUAUGAAGAAGGCCUCCGGGUUGUAAAGUACUUUCAGCGGGGAGGAAGGCGAUAAGGUUAAUAACCGUGUCGAUUGACGUUACCCGCAGAAGAAGCACCGGCUAACUCCGUGCCAGCAGCCGCGGUACUACGGAGGGUGCAAGCGUUAAUCGGAAUUACUGGGCGUAAAGCGCACGCAGGCGGUCUGUCAAGUCGGAUGUGAAAUUCCCGGGCUCAACCUGGGAACUGCAUUCGAAACUGGCAGGCUAGAGUCUCGUAGAGGGGGGUAGAAUUCCAGGUGUAGCGGUGAAAUGCGUAGAGAUCUGGAGGAAUACCGGUGGCGAAGGCGGCCCCCUGGACGAAGACUGACGCUCAGGUGCGAAAGCGUGGGGAGCAAACAGGAUUAGAUACCCGGGUAGUC
rnacentral:rRNA from 1 species